GACGAACGCUGGCGGCGUGCCUAAUACAUGCAAGUCGAACGCAGUGGGGACGGGUGAGUAACACGUGGGUAACCUCCCAUCAGAGGGGAUAACACUUGGAAACAGGUGCUAAACCGAUACUGAUGGAUGGACCCGCGGUGCAUUAGGUAUUUGGUGAUGUAACGGCUCACCAAGGCCACGAUGCAUAGUCGGUCGGAGGGGGUGCGCGGCCACGUGGGGACUGGGGCACGGUCCAGACUCCUUCGGGAGGCAGCAGUAGGGAAUCUUAGGCAAUGUAGGAAAGUCUGACCGAGCAACGCCGCGUGAGUGAAGAAGGUUUUCGUAUCGUAAAACUCUGUUAUUAGAAAAGCGGUAUCUGGCCAGAAAGCCCCGGCUAACUACGUGCCAACCGCCGCGGUAAUUC
rnacentral:rRNA from 1 species